AUUGAACGCUGUCGGCAGGCCUAACACAUGCAAGUCGAACGAGUGGCGGACGGGUGAGUAAUGUCUGGGAAACUGCCUGAUGGAGGGGGAUAACUACUGGAAACGGUAGCUAAUACCGCAUACCAUCGGAUGUGCCCAGAUGGGAUUAGCUAGUAGGUGGGGUAAAGGCUCACCUAGGCGACGCUCCCUAGCUGGUCUGCGAGGAUGACCAGACACACUGGGACUGAGACACGGGCCAGACUCCGACGUGAGGCAGCAGUGGGGAAGAUGGCACAAUGGGCGAAAGCCUGAUGCAGCCAUGCCGCGGGUAUGAAGAAGGCCUUCGGGUUGUAAAGUACGUUCAGCGGGGAGGCGUUACCCGCAGAAGAAGCAACGGCUAACUCCGUGCCAGAAGCCGCGGUAAUUC
rnacentral:rRNA from 1 species